rnacentral:rRNA from 1 species
UACGUAGGUGGCAAGCGUUGUCCGGAUUUACUGGGCGUAAAGAGCGCGCAGGCGGUCGUAUAAGUCGGAAUGUGAAAGCCCCCGGCUCAACUGGGGAGGGUCAUUCGAUACUGUUCGACUCGAAGGCAGGAGAGGGAAGUGGAAUUCCGGGUGAGUGGUGAAAUGCGUAGAUAUCCGGAGGAACACCAGUGGCGAAGGCGACUUUCUGGCCUGUUCUUGACGCUGAGGCGCGAAAGCUAGGGGAGCAAACGGGGAUUAAGAAACCCCGGGGUAGUC